ACGAACGCUGGCGGCGUGCCUAAUACAUGCAAGUCGAGCGGAAUGAUGAAGAAGCUUGCUUCUUCUGAUUUUAGCGGCGGACGGGUGAGUAACACGUGGGCAACCUACCUUGUAGAUUGGGAUAACUCCGGGAAACCCGGGGCUAAUACCGAAUAAUCCAUUUUGCUUCAUGGCGAGAUGUUGAAAGACGGUUUCGGCUGUCACUACAAGAUGGGCCCGCGGCGCAUUAGCUAGUUGGUAGGGUAAUGGCCUACCAAGGCGACGAUGCGUAGCCGACCUGAGAGGGUGAUCGGCCACACUGGGACUGAGACACGGCCCAGACUCCUACGGGAGGCAGCAGUAGGGAAUCUUCCACAAUGGACGAAAGUCUGAUGGAGCAACGCCGCGUGAGUGAAGAAGGUUUUUCGGAUCGUAAAAACUCUGUUGUAAGGGAAGAACACGUACGAGAGUAACUGCUCGUACCUUGACGGUACCUUAUUAGAAAGCCACGGCUAACUACGUG
rnacentral:rRNA from 1 species